rnacentral:rRNA from 1 species
UACAGAGGUCUCAAGCGUUGUUCGGAUUCAUUGGGCGUAAAGGGUGCGUAGGUGGCGCCGUAAGUCGGGUGUGAAAUUUCGGAGCUUAACUCCGAAACUGCAUUCGAUACUGCGGUGCUUGAGGACUGGAGAGGAGACUGGAAUUCAUGGUGUAGCAGUGAAAUGCGUAGAGAUCAUGAGGAAGACCAGUGGCGAAGGCGGGUCUCUGGACAGUUCCUGACACUGAGGCACGAAAGCGUGGGUAGCAAACAGG